UACGUAGGGUGCAAGCGUUAAUCGGAAUUACUGGGCGUAAAGCGUGCGCAGGCGGUCGUGCAAGACAGAUGUGAAAUCCCCGGGCUCAACCUGGGAACUGCAUUUGUGACUGCACGGCUGGAGUGCGGCAGAGGGGGAUGGAAUUCCGCGUGUAGCAGUGAAAUGCGUAGAUAUGCGGAGGAACACCGAUGGCGAAGGCAAUCCCCUGGGCCUGCACUGACGCUCAUGCACGAAAGCGUGGGGAGCAAACAGG
rnacentral:rRNA from 1 species